rnacentral:rRNA from 1 species
CCUACGGGUGGCUGCAGUAACGAAUCUUCCGCAAUGGGCGCAAGCCUGACGGAGCAAUGCCGCGUGUGGGAUGAAGCGUCUCUGACGUGUAAACCACUGUCAGGGGGCAGGAACAAUGACCGCCCCCAAAGGAAGUGGCGACUAACUCUGUGCCAGCAGUCGCGGUAAUACAGAGGCCACAAGCGUUAGUCGGAAUCACUGGGCUUAAAGGGUGCGUAGGCGGCUCGACAAGUGCUUUGUGAAAUCCCGGGGCUCAACCCCGGAACAGCAGGGCA